rnacentral:lncRNA from 1 species
AUCUGAAAAGUAAUAAAAGGCAAAUUCUGAAUAAAAUCACGCAAACACAUUUUUAUUUGACGCAGAACAAAGAAAUGGCAUGAAUUCUAAGAAUUUAUUAUUGUGAUUUUGAAGCCCUCUUUUGCGUUUGAAAUACGUGGACUUCGAUAUUUGGAGAUAUAUACGUCACGUCGAAAUCGACUAGUUUGCAAAGUUUAGUCGGCUAGUCAGAAUGCUUAGAUGAUGGGAAAUGUGAAAAUGUGAAAUAACAGAAUUUGAUCCCCAGGGCACCUCAUAAGCGCGCGAAAUCGCGGUAGCAGAGUCAAAGAAUAUGAAUCAACGGAAGAGUCGUCGAUCGCUGCGUCGAUAGGGGGGAUAGCUUUGAAGUUGGCUUAUAAACGAAAAUUUUUGCUUCACGUUUGAAAUUUAAUUAGACGACACGUGUGGAUCGUAGCUUGAAGCAGUAAAUUGUGUAUUAUUACGAUUUUCAGGGCAGUUUUCAUGGAUUGGCCUCUCAUAGCGAUGUUUUUGUUUACAAUUCUUGGCCAAUAGUAAUCUACUUUUCCGGACUCUGUCAACAAAAGCAUCAACGUCGAGUGACGAAUACAAUAUACCCCCUAAUCCGUAUACGGGUAUUUCACUAAACAUCAAUCAACGAUCAUCACACCAAAAUUAUUUCCGCACGUGUUCAUUCGCAUGCCAAUAAAAUGUCACCCUCGGCUAGUCCUGCUAAAGGUGUGCAGUGGAUGCACUAUGGAGCAGAUGUGAUAAGGCACAUUGGACGGGGACGAGGAAUAGCCCGUUCAAAUUUGCCAGUAGGCGAAUGCCUAUGUCAGAGGUCCCAUUGUUACCUCCUCUGCGAGGUCUGCGGCUUUCUCGGAUGGGGACGAAUUAGAUACAGCUGUCCAAAACAUCCUCAGACAAUCUUUCUGAUCGAUAUGUCCGAAUGUCCUCGAUGUCGUGCAUAUGGGUAUAUGAUUAUGGAGUUUUAAGAAAACAAUUACUGCGACAUACUUGAAGAGCCAAAGAUAUAAAAAAAUAUGCUGGGUGUACAUAUUUAACGUCAUUAUUUUCUCAAAGUAACACGAAGCUUUAAGUUGAAUCUCAAUUGCUGGGAAUGAAUGGUAUGCAUCAAAAAUAAUAUAAUGCAAAAGCAUAUCGG